rnacentral:rRNA from 1 species
GUGGGGAAUAUUGGGCAAUGGGCGAAAGCCUGACCCAGCAACGCCGCGUGAAGGAAGAAGGUUUUCGGAUCGUAAACUUCUAUCCUUGGUGAAGAUAAUGACGGUACCCAAAGAAUAAGCACCGGCUAACUUCGUGCCAGCAGCCGCGGUAAUACGAAGGGUGCAAGCGUUACUCGGAAUUACUGGGCGUAAAGCGUGCGUAGGUGGUUCGUUAAGUCUGCCGUGAAAGCCCCGGGCUCAACCUGGGAAUGGCGUUUGUGACUGCAAAGCUGGAGUGCGGCAGAGGGGGAUGGAAUUCCGGGUGUAGCAGUGAAAUGCGUAGAUAUGCGGAGGAACACCGAUGGCGAAGGCAAUCCCCUGGGCCUGCACUGACGCUCAUGCACGAAAGCGUUGGGAGCCAACAGGAUUAGAUACCCUGGUAGUCC